GAUCAUGGCUCAGGACGAACGCUGGCGGCGCGCCUAACACAUGCAGGUCGAACGGAGCUGAGAGGAGCUUGCUUUUCUUAGCUUAGUGGCGAACGGGUGAGUAACGCGUGAGGUAACCUGCCCUGGAGUGGGGGACAACAGUUGGAAACGACUGCUAAUACCGCAUAAGCCCACGAUCCGGCAUCGGAUUGAGGGAAAAAGGAUUUAUUCGCUUCAGGAUGGACUCGCGUCCAAUUAG
rnacentral:rRNA from 1 species